CCCUUAGAUGUUCUGGGCCGCACGCGCGCUACACUGACGAUGGCAACGAGUUUUUCCUUCGCCGAAAGGUGUGGGUAAUCUUUUGAAACAUCGUCGUGCUGGGGAUAGAUCAUUGCAAUUUUUGAUCUUGAACGAGGAAUUCCUAGUAAGCGCGAGUCAUCAGCUCGCGUUGAUUACGUCCCUGCCCUUUGUACACACCGCCCGUCGCUACUACCGAUUGAAUGGUCCGGUGAAGCCUCGGGAUUGUGGCCAGUGCCUUUUUGGUUUUGGUUGCGAGAACUUGUCUAAACCUUAUCAUCUAGAGGAAGGUGAAGUCGUAACA
rnacentral:rRNA from 1 species